rnacentral:rRNA from 1 species
UACGGGGGGGGCAAGCGUUGUUCGGAAUUACUGGGCGUCACGGGCGCGUAGGCGGCCUUGUAAGUUGGGGGUGAAAGCCCGUGGCUCAACCACGGAAUUGCCUUCGAUACUGCUUGGCUUGAGACCGGAAGAGGUGAGUGGAACUGCGAGUGUAGAGGUGAAAUUCGUAGAUAUUCGCAAGAACACCAGUGGCGAAGGCGGCUCAGUGGUCCGGAUCUGACGCUGAGGCGCGAAAGCGUGGGGAGCAAACAGG